UACGUAGGGUGCAAGCGUUGUCCGGAAUUAUUGGGCGUAAAGAGCUCGUAGGCGGUUUGUCGCGUCUGCUGUGAAAACCCGAGGCUCAACCUCGGGCCUGCAGUGGGUACGGGCAGACUAGAGUGCGGUAGGGGAGAUUGGAAUUCCUGGUGUAGCGGUGGAAUGCGCAGAUAUUAGGAGGAACACCGAUGGCGAAGGCAGGUCUCUGGGCAUUAACUGACGCUGAGGAGCGAAAGCAUGGGGAGCGAACAGG
rnacentral:rRNA from 1 species